rnacentral:rRNA from 1 species
GACGAGCUCUCCAAACGUUAUUCGGAAUCACUGGGCUUAAAGGGUGCGUAGGCGGGUCCGUCAGUCAGGGGUGAAAUCCCACGGCCCAACCGUGGAAGUGCCUCUGAGUACUGCGGGCCUAGAGGGGGAUAGGGGCGUGCGGAACUUCCGGUGGAGUGGUGAAAUGCGUAGAUAUCGGAAGGAACACCGGUGGCGAAAGCGGCGCGCUGGAUCCCCACUGA